AGUAAGAAAUUCAAUAUCUUUCCAAGUAAAGAUGGGGCAGAGGAAAAAAAUCCAGACAGUGAAACAUAUAUCCAUAUCCACUGAAAGGUGCACAGUGGAUAAAGAUACAAUAAAUCAAGGUAAUGAUAGAUGCAAACUGCUGUUGCAUGUGGAUUUGACUGAUAUCUCCCAAAUUAAUAAGUGUGCUAUAUAUAAUAAAAAUGUAUUUCCUGGAACAAUAAUUCCAAAUUGGCAAAAACAACAACUAUCAAAUCCAUUCUAUGAAUGCCGUUAACAAGCUUUAUGGUCAAGAGCCUGUUUUAAUUUAGACUACCACGGACAAUAUUGGUUGGCUUUAGGAAUAUAGGUUUAUCACUUCACUUGUAACCCUCAGGGUGGCUAUGUAGUUAGAAAUAAAAUGAUGAAAAAAAAUUAAAUGCAAAAAGUUAAAUAUCAGGAUUUAAAUAAAAAUAUUGUUUCAUCUUGACAAUACUGCCAAACUAUUUUGUGCUAUUUUGCUGCAUCUGCUUUAAACCAUUCCUCUUAUAUCUAAAUGACACAUUUUUAAAUAUGGAUGCUGAUUAGGGAAUGCUUUAUCACGACUCUAGUGAACAUAUGGCUACAUGAGUAUAAGCAAUGCAUACAUAAACAUAAGAUCCACUGUACUCAUCGUAUCAGCCACUUAGUAUGGUCAUGUUGUUAUUCCCUGGCAUUGGACUGUUGCUUUUAAUGCUUAUUAAAACACCAUAUUAUCUAGCUAUAGAUGGUUAGAUGCUCAAAGAAUGUCCUUUUCAAAAUUAGGCCUUUUUGGGACAUACUGAAUUACAUGCGUCGGCCCUUCCUGUUGUUAACCAUUUUCAUGACAAAUUGCAACGGGAUAAAACUCUGAUAAUUCUUUAAAUCUUGACCUAGUACUAAAUAAUCACUAGAGCAGAAACAUUGAGCUGAAAAAACAAACACAAAACACUCUUUGGUGAAACAAAAGGCAUGCACAGUAUUUAAAUGAGUGGAAAAGGCAGUGACAACCAUGUCAACUCAAAAUAUGUUCCUGAUUUGGGACCUGUCCCACUCAAACAUUUGUUAAAUUGCCAGGUCCCUAACUAUUCUCUCUGUAGCACAAUCACUCUGAACUAUUUCACAAUCUUUCAGAGGUGGCUUCUCACAAGCUGCAUCAAGAAAGUUGAAAACACAGCGAUUAGAGGGUUUCAUCAAUGUGAUUAAAAACCAUGUAAACCCUCAAAAGGAUUCAAACGCUCUUAUGCUGGGAAUGCAUUGUGACGUGACGUCAGCCUCGACAUUCAAGGUGUAACAAACCCGUUCACAGUGUAAUCCCCUCAAUGAAAAUCAGAUCACAUGGAUGCAAAAAGGUCUCCACAAUUCUUCGACGACGCAAUUGACCGGACUAAUCAAGUAUGCAAAAAAAACAAGAACCCAGAGUCAUGGCAAAUAAAAUGAUCAGCCCCCAACAAAAAAUUAUAAAAUGAGCUGAGUUUGGUUAACAUAAAAAAUGUAAUACAAUCGACCUAAUAAACUUUACUGUCCCAUUUAUAUAUCAGCUGAUUGAAUGUUUCCACCAGUGACAAUAUGUUUCUACAACUGAAUCGAUUAUCAGCGAAAACACAGAUUAAAACUGUGUUUUUUUUCCAGCACAACAUUGUGGUAGUUGCAUUAGAUCUCGGGAAUGUUGCUGCUUGCCUCGAUAACAUGGAUACAGAUUCUCUAUCCUAAAAUCUUUUUCUCUAGUCCUGGUGUUUGAUAAAAGUACUUGCUAGUACAGAUAUUCACACUGAUAGUCACAUUGGAGGAAACUUGAAUUGCUUAAGGAAACAUCACAUCAUGACUAUUUGUGAUGGCGCAAAAUAAUUGUGAAACCCAUCUUUGAUUUGUGAAAACACAUCAGCUUCCUUAUAAAACAUGAAACACAUCAAUGCUGUACAGAAAAGAGGCUGUGAGGCUGGAACAGUACAAACUUGUUAAAAUUAUUAUGUGGUUUUCCUCAACAUAAUCUGGCAUAAGCUUGUGUAUAAAAGCUAAAACAUAGUUUAACUUAUAACACCAGAAUGUUUGGAGAUAAUUAAGCACAGAAUAUAAUGAAAAUCUGCCCAAAUUGCCAACCUUACAGUUUAAAGAAUCAGUCUUUUUUUCAUAUGACCUGUAUAAUUAGACUAAACACGUGUCUGACUUCUGUUGAUUAGCCAAUCUGCAUUCCUUUCACUUCAAGCCACACCUCAUCCAAAGCCUUACUAUUACUUUAUAAAAAGGGACAGUCGAUCACAAUUCAGUCCCAGCCACAUCCGACAAGACAAGACAAACCUGGUUUCAAAGUGGUAAAUCCUGUCUCAUGUCUAUGCGACUUGGUAAUGUGCAACAUGGUGGAAAUGUGUCAGAUGUACAACACACACACACUCCCACAUUCACUCCACCCCCUUCUCUCUGUGCGACCUUAAAUUCAGUGAGGAAGGCCUUUUAUUCUGUCGCCUGCCCUGCAUUCCACAUGUCUCUUUUGUCCUCUUAUCACCAUGGCUUUCGUGCUGUCUCCUGUUUGUAUGCUUGCCUUUGCUUGUGUCUCUGAUGUUACUUUGACCCCCCCCCCCCC
ensembl:lncRNA